rnacentral:rRNA from 1 species
AUUGAACGCUGGCGGCAUGCCUUACACAUGCAAGUCGAACGGUAACGGGCCUUCGGGUGCCGACGAGUGGCGCACGGGUGAGUAAUACAUCGGAACGUGCCCGAUCGUGGGGGAUAACGAGGCGAAAGCUUUGCUAAUACCGCAUACGAUCUACGGAUGAAAGCAGGGGACCGCAAGGCCUUGCGCGGACGGAGCGGCCGAUGGCAGAUUAGGUAGUUGGUGGGAUAAAAGCUUACCAAGCCGACGAUCUGUAGCUGGUCUGAGAGGAUGAUCAGCCACACUGGGACUGAGACACGGCCCAGACUCCUACGGGAGGCAGCAGUGGGGAAUUUUGGACAAUGGGCGCAAGCCUGAUCCAGCCAUGCCGCGUGCAGGAUGAAGGCCUUCGGGUUGUAAACUGCUUUUGUACGGAACGAAAAGCCUUCUUUUAAUACAGGAGGGUCAUGACGGUACCGUAAGAAUAAGCACCGGCUAACUACGUGC